rnacentral:rRNA from 1 species
UACGUAGGGACCAAGCGUUGUCCGGAAUCAUUGGGCGUAAAGCGCGCGUAGGCGGCCCGGUAAGUCCGUUGUAAAAGUCGAAGGCUCAACCUUCGAAAGCCGAUGGAUACUGCCGGGCUAGAGUACGGAAGAGGCGAGUAGAAUUCACGGUGUAGCAGUGAAAUGCGUAGAUAUCGUGAGGAAGACCAGUGGCGAAGGCGGGUCUCUGGACAGUUCCUGACACUGAGGCACGAAGGCCAGGGGAGCAAACGGG